ACGCCGUCCGCGUCUCUGCGAGGAAGCCCGAGGUCGGAAAGAGUCGACGAAGACGAGGAGACGCGCAGACUCUUAGAGUUUUAGUCUCGCAUUCUCGCACCCACCGCCCACGCCGUCCAGAGUCCAAGCGUCACUCGCCGGUUGCACCUUCUCAAAACUGUAACUGCAAAUCAAUUCCACAAUCUGCAAUUUUACUGGCCCUGCUGUAAGUGCUGUCUGCAAAAUUGCAAAUCCGCCUUCAAUUACCAGUUUACCACCGGGCCUUCCACCUUCGCGGCUUCGCCUAAUCAUCAUUCAUCUUCAUUUUGCACACAAUCACGGCCUAAUGCCCUAAUUGCAAAGGCUGUGUACCCGUGGCCGUGUUGCAACCCUCCCACGGUUUGGUGCUGCGAGGAGAAUCUUAAGAAUGGAGAUGCUGGCAUCCCUAUUCGUGGCAAUAGACCAUUUUCCCAUGCUGCAGCCCAGAAUGAAACCGGCUCGACUGUCAUCGACGACAAGCAGCCCUGAUCGAGGUUGUCAUUUUGAACUGCAGUCAUUAUCGGAUAGUGUGUACUGGGUAAACGGUGAAGUUUGGUUGUGUUUUAAUUCUAUGUUGUAAUGUGUAAACCUGGUUGUGUAUGUGUUACUAUGAUUUGCAUGCUUAGUGCAUGGCCUGAAUCGUGAUGUUUGAUAAAUAAAGUUAUGUUAUUAUGGUGUUUGAAUUUUCAAA